CCUACGGGUGGCAGCAGUGGGGAAUAUUGCACAAUGGGGGAAACCCUGAUGCAGCGACGCCGCGUGAGUGAAGAAGUUUUUCGGUUUGUAAAGCUCUUUCAGCAGGGAAGAGAAUGACGGUAUCUGAGGAAUAAGCCCCGGCUAACUACGUGCCAGCAGCCGCGGUAAUACGGAGGGGGCAAGCGUUAUCCGGAUUUACUGGGCGUAAAGGGAGCGUAGACGGCGAAGAAAGUCUGAAGUGAAAGCCCGCGGCUCAACCGCGGAACUGCAUUGGAAACUUUUUUGCUGGAGUACCGGAGAGGUAAGCGGAAUUCCUAGUGUAGCGGUGAAAUGCGUAGAUAUUAGGAGGAACACCAGUGGCGAAGGCGACUUACUGGACGAUAACUGACGUUGAGGCUCGAAAGCGUGGGGAGCAAACAGGAUUAGAUACCCCAGUAGUC
rnacentral:rRNA from 1 species